AUUGAACGCUGGCGGCAUGCCUUACACAUGCAAGUCGAACGGCAACAGGUCUUCGGAUGCUGACGAGUGGCGAACGGGUGAGUAAUACAUAGGAACGUGCCCGAUCGUGGGGGAUAACGAAGCGAAAGCUUUGCUAAUACCGCAUAAGAUCCACGGAUGAAAGCAGGGGACCGCAAGGCCUUGCGCGAACGGAGAGGCCGAUGGCAGAUUAGGUAGUUGGUGGGAUAAAAGCUUACCAAGCCGACGAUCUGUAGCUGGUCUGAGAGGACGACAGCCACACUGGGACUGAGACACGGCCCAGACUCCUACGGGAGGCAGCAGUGGGGAAUUUUGGACAAUGGGCGAAAGCCUGAUCCAGCCAUGCCGCGUGCAGGAUGAAGGCCUUCGGGUUGUAAACUGCUUUUGUACGGAACGAAAAGACUCUGGUUAAUACCUGGGGUCCAUGACGGUACCGUAAGAAUAAGCACCGGCUAACUACGUGCCAGCAGCCGCCGUAAAAC
rnacentral:rRNA from 1 species